rnacentral:rRNA from 1 species
GGAAUCUUGCACAAUGGAGGAAACUCUGAUGCAGCGAUGCCGCGUGAGUGAAGAAGGCCUUUGGGUUGUAAAGCUCUUUUGUAGGGGAAGAUAAUGACUGUACCCUAAGAAUAAGGUCCGGCUAACUUCGUGCCAGCAGCCGCGGUAAUACGAAGGGACCUAGCGUAGUUCGGAAUUACUGGGCGUAAAGCGCGCGUAGGCCGUUGAGUUAGUUAAUUGUGAAAUCCCAAAGCUUAACUUUGGAACUGCAAUUAAAACUGCUCGACUAGAGUUUGAUAGAGGAAAGCGGAAUACAUAGUGUAGAGGUGAAAUUCGUAGAUAUUAUGUAGAACACCAGUUGCGAAGGCGGCUUUCUGGAUCAACACUGACGCUGAGGCGCGAAAGUAUGGGUAGCAAAGAGGAUUAGAUACCCUCGUAGUCCAUACCAUAAACGAUGAUUGCUAGAUGUUGGAAAUUUAUUUUCAGUAUCGCAGCUAACGCAUUAAGCAAUCCGCCUGGGGAGUACGACCGCAAGGUUAAAACUCAAAUGAAUUGACAA